GAUGAAGAACGUAGUGAAAUGCGAUAAGUAAUGUGAAUUGCAGAAUUCAGUGAAUCAUCGAAUCUUUGAACGCACAUUGCGCCCGCCAGUAUUCUGGCGGGCAUGCCUGUUCGAGCGUCAUUUCCACCAUCAGGCCCCCGGGCCUGUGUUGGGGACCUGCGGCUGCCCGCAGGCCCCGAAAUUCAGUGGCGGUCGCGCCGUAGCAACCGAGCGUAGUAACUAAAACGUCUCGCUCUGGCUCGCUGGGCGCGCUCCGGCCGUAAAACACCCCCCCUUUUCGCAAAGGUUGACCUCGGAUCAGGUAGGAAUACCCGCUGAACUUAAGCAUACAAUAAGCGGAGGA
rnacentral:misc_RNA from 1 species